rnacentral:rRNA from 1 species
UACGUAGGGUGCAAGCGUUGUCCGGAAUUAUUGGGCGUAAAGAGCUCGUAGGCGGUCUGUUGCGUCGGCUGUGAAAACCCGGGGCUCAACCCCGGGCCUGCAGCCGAUACGGGCAGACUAGAGUUCGGCAGGGGAGACUGGAAUUCCUGGUGUAGCGGUGAAAUGCGCAGAUAUCAGGAGGAACACCGGUGGCGAAGGCGGGUCUCUGGGCCGAUACUGACGCUGAGGCGCGAAGGCGUGGGGAGCAAACAGG